AAGGCCAUAGGUUAUGUAAACCCUCACUGUUCAAAAGUGGUAAAGAGGGGCUAUUCUUUCUGGCCUUA
rnacentral:tRNA from 1 species